rfam:Arabis alpina cultivar Pajares scaff_60927_1_contig_0, whole genome shotgun sequence.
GCCUCGGUAGCGCAGUAGGCAGCGCGUCAGUCUCAUAAUCUGAAGGCCGUGAGUUCGAUCCUCACCCGGGGCA